rnacentral:lncRNA from 1 species
UUAAACUUUUUACAUCUAAGAUAAAUUAUAUAAGAUCCUUAAUUUACAAAUAAGAGAAUUCUAUUCUGUUUUAAUGCCUGUAAUGUUUGUUCAAAAUAAUAAUAAUUUUUUAUUACAAUGAUUUUAUAUAUUAGGUAGAUGCCCAUUCUGUUCCUAUUUUCAGAAGUUUAUUAUAUCUAUGCAAUGCCUUUGCUCAGGUUAAAGAAUGGAAUAAAAGUCUAGCAUCAAAUGUAUAGCUAACUAUUUUAAUUUGUGAUCAGAGCAACUGAUCUCCGUUCAAUUUUUAUCAUCAAAAGUUAGUUCUACCUUCGCAGGACCUCUGCUCUACAUACCUCCUCUCUGGUUAAAGAAUGGAAUAUAAGUCUCAUUUAUCAAGUUGGUGUAAAAAUUUAGCUUGAUAAAUUAAGAAGUUGUAAACUUUAUUAUCACAAUUGCCAAGUUGACCAAAUGUUCUUCUGGUUUUAAAUGAAUUAUGUAUGAGUCUAGUAUCAUCUGGGUGUUCAAAGAUAGUUUACUGCUUGAAGAACUUAUCAAUGGACCAACUAAUUAUAAAACAGUUUUUAAUGAAAAUAAAAACGAAUUAUCAAAAGAUUUAAAUCAGCUAUUUGUGUAUAUUUAAACACUUUAUUUUUUGUGAGAAGAGAUUAUUGAUACAAGUACCA